UCCGUAGGGUGCGAGCGUUGUCCGGAAUUAUUGGGCGUAAAGAGCUUGUAGGCGGUCUGUCGCGUCUGCUGUGAAAAUCCGGGGCUCAACCCCGGACUUGCAGUGGGUACGGGCAGACUAGAGUGUGGUAGGGGAGACUGGAAUUCCUGGUGUAGCGGUGAAAUGCGCAGAUAUCAGGAGGAACACCGAUGGCGAAGGCAGGUCUCUGGGCCACUACUGACGCUGAGAAGCGAAAGCAUGGGGAGCGAACAGG
rnacentral:rRNA from 1 species